CAGUCGCCGCGGUAAUACGAAGGGGGCUAGCGUUGUUCGGAUUUACUGGGCGUAAAGCGCACGUAGGCGGAUCGUUAAGUCGGGGGUGAAAUCCUGGAGCUCAACUCCGGAACUGCCUUCGAUACUGGCGAUCUUGAGUCCGGAAGAGGUUAGUGGAACUCCUAGCGUAGAGGUGGAAUUCGUAGAUAUUAGGAAGAACACCAGUGGCGAAGGCGGCUCACUGGUCCGGUACUGACGCUGAGGUGCGAAAGCGUGGGGAGCAAACAGGAUUAGAUACCCCCGUAGUCCCUGUCUCUUAUAC
rnacentral:rRNA from 1 species